GGAGAGAUGGCCGAGAGGUCGAAGGCGCUCCCCUGCUAAGGGAGUAAGCGGAUAAAACUGCUUCGAGGGUUCGAAUCCCUCUCUCUCCGCCA
rnacentral:tRNA from 1 species